UAAUCAAUACAAAAGCAAAAAUUGGAGAGUAUAUAUAAGUUGAGAUAGUCAAUCAUUACAAAUUUUUUAUUGUUUAUUAUAAGUUUAAUCACUUGAAUUUUUAAGUCUCAACUAGCUCUUGAAUCUAAAGCAAUACAAAAAUGAAGUUCAAAGGACUUGAUGUUGUUGGAGCUAUAACCUAGAAUAUUUCCUAGUUUGACAACAAUUUUUGAAACUAUGGAAAGAAAUUCUUUUAGAAUAUUUUUUAAUACAAUCCAGAUAAAAGAUCUUAAAUAAGCUCAAAUAAAAAAAUCAUUUUAGGCUCUACAUGGCUCUUAGAUCAAAGUAUAGAUCUCAUGAUUAUUCAAGCUUAGAAUUCUAUGGA
rnacentral:lncRNA from 1 species